rnacentral:rRNA from 1 species
GCUAAUACCGAAUGUGCCCUUCGGGGGAAAGAUUUAUCGCCAUUAGAGCGGCCCGCGUCUGAUUAGCUAGUUGGUGAGGUAAAGGCUCACCAAGGCGACGAUCAGUAGCUGGUCUGAGAGGAUGAUCAGCCACAUUGGGACUGAGACACGGCCCAAACUCCUACGGGAGGCAGCAGUGGGGAAUCUUGCGCAAUGGGCGAAAGCCUGACGCAGCCAUGCCGCGUGAAUGAUGAAGGUCUUAGGAUUGUAAAAUUCUUUCAGUAGGGACGAUAAUGACGGUACCUACAGAAGAAGCCCCGGCUAACUUCGUGCCAGCAGCCGCGGUAAUACGAAGGGGGCUAGCGUUGCUCGGAAUUACUGGGCGUAAAGGGAGCGUAGGCGGACAUUUAAGUCAGGGGUGAAAUCCCGGGGCUCAACCUCGGAAUUGCCUUUGAUACUGGGUGUCUUGAGUAUGAGAGAGGUAUGUGGAACUCCGAGUGUAGAGGUGAAAUUCGUAGAUAUUCGGAAGAACACCAGUGGCGAAGGCGACAUACUGGCUCAUUACUGACGCUGAGGCUCGAAAGCGUGGGGAGCAAACAGGAUUAGAUACCCUGGUAGUCCACGCCGUAAACGAUGAUUGCUAGUUGUCGGGAUGCAUGCAUUUCGGUGACGCAGCUAACGCA